rnacentral:rRNA from 1 species
AUGCAAGUCGAGCGGAAAGGCCCUUCGGGGUACUCGAGCGGCGAACGGGUGAGUAACACGUGAGUUAAUCUGCCCCAGGCUCUGGAUACCCACCGGAAAACGGUGAUUAAUACCGAAUACGACAACCGAUUUGCAUGAUCUGGUGGUGNAAAGUUUUUCGGCCUGGGAUGUGCUUCGCGGCCUAUCAGCUUGUUGGUGAGGUAAUGGCUCACCCAAGGCUUCGACGGUAGCCGGCCUGAGAGGGUGACCGNCCACACUGGGACUGAGACACGGCCCAGACUCCUACGGGAGGCAGCAGUGGGGAAUAUUGGACAAUGGGCGGAAGCCUGAUCCAGCAACGCCGCGUGAGGGAUGACGGCCUUCGGGUUGUAAACCUCUUUCAGCACAGACGAAGCGCAAGUGACGGUAUGUGCAGAAGAAGGACCGGCCAACUACGUGCCAGCAGCCGCGGUAAUACGUAGGGUCCGAGCGUUGUCCGGAAUUAUUGGGCGUAAAGGGCUCGUAGGCGGUCUGUCGCGUCGGGAGUGAAAACCAGGUGCUUAACACCUGGCCUGCUUUCGAUACGGGCAGNCUAGAGGUACNCAGGGGAGAAUGGAAUUCCUGGUGUAGCGGUGAAAUGCGCAGAUAUCAGGAGGAAACACCGGUGGCGAAGNCGGUUCUCUGGGAGUAUCCUGACGCUGAGGAGCGAAAGUGUGGGGAGCGAACAGGAUUAGAUACCCUGGUAGUCCACACCGUAAACGUUGGGCGCUAGGUGUGGGACACAUUCCACGUGUUCCGUGCCGCAGCUAACGCAUUAANCGCCCCGCCUGGGGAGUACGGCCGCAANGCUAAAACUCANAGGAAUUGACGGGGGCCCGCACAAGCGGCGGAGCAUGCGGAUUAAUUCGAUGCAACGCGAAGAACCUUACCUGGGUUUGACAUACACCGGAAAGCCGUACAGAUACGGCCCCUUUUAGUCGGUGUACAGGUGGUGCAUGGCUGUCGUCAGCUCGCUGUCGUGAGAUGUUCGGGUUAAGUCCCGCAACGAGCGCAACCCUCGUCCUAUGUUGCCAGCAAUUCGGUUGGGGACUCAUAGGAGACUGCCGGGGUCAACUCGGAGGAAGGUGGGGAUGACGUCAAGUCAUCAUGCCCCUUAUGUCCAGGGCUUCACGCAUGCUACAAUGGCCGGUACAAAGGGCUGCGAUCCCGUGAGGGUGAGCGAAUCCCAAAAAGCCGGUCUCAGUUCGGAUUGGGGUCUGCAACUCGACCCCAUGAAGUCGGAGUCGCUAGUAAUCGCAGAUCAGCAACGCUGCGGUGAAUACGUUCCCGGGCCUUGUACACACCGCCCGUCACGUCACGAAAGUCGGCAACACCCGAAGCCANUGGCCCAACUCGUAAGAGAGGGAGCUGU